CCCAGUUACUGAUGCUGGGCAUCUUCAGGAGUGGGAGCUUUCCCCGCAGUGCUAGCGGCAAAGGCAGGCGGUAGCCACAUUGGAGGCCGCUGCUGCUUUGCCCAAGAGAACAAGGCAGCUCUUUACCAGGCCGGCAAUGUAAAAGGGGCCAUGAAAGACAAAUGAAGGUCCAGUGCUCUUACCAGAACGAGCAGGAAAAGCAGGUCCAUUGUUCUAUUAGUUCGACAAGUUGACAUUUCCUUUGGUGGUCCUUAAAAACUAUCAGUUACUUGUUAAGGCUUCAAUGAAACAAAAUGAAAAAAGAAAACAUGAAAAAAAAUCAUUGUUUUGUAUCUCUGCACUGAGACAUUUCAGAUUUAAGUUUUAUUUGUGAAAACGCUCACAUAUUAUCAGCAGGCUAUAAAACGAUUAAAAUUGAAAGAAAAGCAUAAAAAAAGUAAGAUUGUGCCUUUUAAACGUCAAUGUUUUGAUGUUGUUAGCUGGGGAGGCACCGGCCUGAAAUGGGAGACUGGCGAUUAUUUUAAGCUUGUGACAGCUGCAGAGAACAGUUGCCCUGACUCAAGUCCAUGGAAUGUGCCCUUUGAUGGAAACGACAGGCGACACUCAGGCAAUUUCAAUAUUUUCUCAAAAAGAAAAGUUAGUAAUAACUUAAUGAUAUCUUUUUAAAAACUAAAAUUACCACCCCAUUAAUCAUUCGCCGGCGAAACAAAAGUGCUCCAACAUGGAUCGUACCUGGAUAUGAACCUUAUCUCCUCGAAUAAGCCGUCACCAAAAACUUCUCCAGCUCCAGACGCGACUGAAAGAGAUUGUGACACCAGGGUCCUCGCCUGGAAUGUGCAAAUAAACUGGUGCCUGAGAGACAAGUGACAGAGCAAUACUUACAGCAAGCAAAAAAAAACUUUAUAUUUCGUUGUUUUGUCUUUUAUUUUGACCCUAGUGUACUUUGCUAAUAAAUAAUGAACACUGA